GACGAACGCUGGCGGCGUGCUUAACACAUGCAAGUCGAACGGAAAGGCGCUGCUUUUGUGGGGUGCCCGCGUGGCGAACGGGUGAGAAACACGUGAGUAUCCUGCCCUUGACUUUGGGAUAACUUCAGGAAACUGGGGCUACUACCUGAUAGGAGCUCCUGCUGCAUGGUGGGGGUUGGACAGUUUCGGCGGUUGUGGAUGGAGUGGCGGCUUAUCAGCUUGUUGGUGGGGUAGUGGCCUACCAAGGCUUUGACGGGUAGCCGGCCUGGGAGGGUGACCAGCGACAUUGGGACUGAGGGACGGCCCAGACGGCAACAUUGGGCAGCAGUGGGAAAUAUGGCACAAUGGGGGGAAGCCUGAUGCAACAACGCUGCGUUCGGAAUGACGGCCUUCUGGGGGGAAACCGCAGUCGCCUGAGACGAAGCGGUAGUGACGUUAAUAAGUGAAGAAGCACCGGCUAACUACGUG
rnacentral:rRNA from 1 species